rnacentral:lncRNA from 1 species
CUUUCUAUUAGAAAAAGCUUAAAGUUUGCAAGUAUUAUUCAACUCAGUCCCAAUAAGUCCUACUUAGCGUUAUGUGAUGUCACACACGAAAAGUUCAUUUUCUCAAAAAAGAAAAAGAAAGAAAGAAAGAAAGAACGAACAAACGAAAGAAAGAAAGAAAGCAAUAUCUUCUAAGUUCUUAGUAUUCAGUUUUCUACACAAGUCUUCUCCAAGAAAAUUUCAACAUAAAGAGACAAAUCCCAAUAGAUGAACCACCAAUGGGAUGAAUAAUUUGGGAAAAAUAGAACACGUGUUUCAACUGCUACAUGAAUUAUCAUGUCAACUCCAAUUAGACCUUACAAAGAUUUGAGAUAGACAAUAGAAUCUCUCAUAAUGACAUUGUUUAGCAAAGUGAUUCAUAUGUAAGAACAAUCUUAAGCAAUUGUUACAUUUACGAUCUAUCCAUUAUUCAAUAUUCUCCAUCAUGGUGAUUCUAUGUCAAGAUAAAAAUUGAUUACACUCAAGUAAUGGGAGCUCAUUGAUAAGAGGAAAAAGAUAUCAAUUCAUCAAAAAACAAAUGCAGAUUAGACAUUAUUAAUAGUUUGAAUUUGUACAUUUUUCAUAUCCAGUUUUAAAAAUCAUGACCUGAACACUAAAACAUGUAUCCCACAAAUAAUUGCAGCUAUUUCUUGACCAUCUGCUCGAAACACCAAACGCAACUAUAAAUAGUUUUUACACCACAAAAUGGAAGAAUAUAAACAAAAUUCCAGUUCAUUCCAAGAUACCGAUUCAAAUAAGAAACGUAAAAUUUGCUACACCAUACAACAAGUCUGGCUUCAUUUUUAAUUUUUAACAAACCAACAGAUUUUUCUCUACCCAAACUUCGACUUUGAUUCUUUCCUAUUGAGUCCUGGGGUUCCUUGUCAACCUUCGAUGGGACCAGCCCAAGCCUUAAUCAUUAGUUAUUAUUAUCUUGGAUUCCAACUUAAAAAUCAAACCUUGUCAAAACGAAAAGGAUAAAAAAAAAUAAAAAAUCAUAACAUAUUGGAGGAGAAAACCGUACUUGCUGUGGAGCGUGUUCAUGAGGAAGAAAGGAUUCCAGAUUCGAAACUCGGGUGUCCAAAGAAUUAAAUUUUUCAUUCAACUGCAACCAAAAAACAGAAUUAAAAAAAAAAAAUUGAUAUAAAUCAAUACAAUU